rnacentral:rRNA from 1 species
UACAGAGGGUGCGAGCGUUAAUCGGAAUUACUGGGCGUAAAGCGUGCGUAGACGGUUACGUAAGUCAGAUGUGAAAGCCCCGGGCUCAACCUGGGAAUUGCAUUUGAGACUGCGUAGCUAGGGUGCGGAAGAGGGAAGCGGAAUUUCCGGUGUAGCGGUGAAAUGCGUAGAUAUCGGAAGGAACACCAGUGGCGAAAGCGGCUUCCUGGUCCAGCACCGACGUCAGGCACGAAAGCGUGGGGAGCAAACAGG